ACGAACUGUGCAAACGUUAUUCGGAAUCACUGGGCUUAAAGGGUGCGUAGGCGGCGAUAAAGGUCAGGUGUGAAAUCCCACGGCUCAACCGUGGAACUGCGCUUGAAACCAUAUUGCUUGAGGGAGUCAGAGGUAAGCGGAACUGUUGGUGGAGCGGUGAAAUGCGUAGAUAUCAACAGGAACACCGGUGGCGAAAGCGGCUUACUGGGACUUUUCUGACGCUGAGGCACGAAAGCCAGGGGAGCAAACGGGAUUAGAUACCCCGGUAGUCCUGGCCGUAAACGAUCUGUACUAGUCCGUGGGGACCUCCACAUCCUCUCGGACGUAGCGAAAGUGUUAAGUACAGCGCCUGGGGAGUAUGGUCGCAAGGCUG
rnacentral:rRNA from 1 species